GAAAACUUUAAAAAAUGGAAAGAUAUACGGUGUUCUAGGAUUGGAAGAAUCACUAUUGUUAAGAUAACCAUAUUGCCCAAGGCAAUCUACAGAUUCAGUGCAAUCCCUUGCAAAUUACCAAUGGCAUUUUUCACAGAAUUGGAACAAAAAAAUGUUAAAUUUGUAUGGAAACACAAAAGACCCCCA